rnacentral:lncRNA from 1 species
CAUUGUCAUGAAGGAGCACACAGGGAAGGAAGGGUCAGCAGUGUCAGCUUUCUAGACAAGGUAAUGCCUGGAUGGAGACCUGAAGGUUAACAGAAGGAAAGGGAGUUGAAAGAGGCAUUCAAAAAGACUGAAGGGGGCCUGUGAAAUAAGGUGUUUUGUUCAGAGAACCAUCAAGUACUUUGCUGCUGAGGAGUCAAAUUAGGAGAGGUGAGACUGGAAGGGAUCAGUCCAUAGGCAGCCUGGGAAGCCCUGUUGUGCUAAUGUAGCCAGAUACUUAUGAUUUCUCUAAAGGGUAUCAUUUUAUGCCCAUUGCAUAUUUUUUUGAAACAUUAUAUUUCUUUUCUCUCCAUGAUACAGAAAUUCCAUAGUUGCAAUUAUGUAAACCCAGAAUACUGCUAUAUAGUAAGCAUCUGUACUUUGAUCACCUUUAUGAUCUUUUUGUAUUUUAGUAAUGAACUAUUACCAUAGAUAAAAUGAGGAAUUAGUUAUAGACUUGGUGAAUUGGGAAUGCUAAGAAGUUCUUCAGGAAAGCUUUGGACAUAUAUGGAUGGACUUCAGCCCAGUCCUCUCCCAUUUUACUGGUACCCUC